rnacentral:rRNA from 1 species
UACGAAGGGGGCUAGCGUUGUUCGGAAUUACUGGGCGUAAAGCGUGCGCAGGCGGCUUUGUAAGCCAGAUGUGAAAUCCCCGGGCUUAACCUGGGAAUGGCAUUUGGGACUGCAAGGCUUGAGUGCGGCAGAGGAGACUGGAAUUCCUGGUGUAGCAGUGAAAUGCGUAGAUAUCAGGAGGAACACCGAUGGCGAAGGCAGGUCUCUGGGCUGACACUGACGCUCAUGCACGAAAGCGUGGGGAGCAAACAGG